CGGGUUUCUGUCUCAGCUGUCACGUACGCUGCUUCUUCUGCUAACCGGUGAGCUGCUCCAUCGUCAAGCCAAGACGUCCAAAAAAAAUACUCUACUAAAAAACGGUGCGUGUGUGCGUGCGCGUUUGGAUCUAAAGCGAUUAAACGAGGAGUUGAGGUUAGGUGGUACGGGCGCGUCGCGGGUGGCCGAGCCGUCCGUCCGUUGUUUGUUUGGUUCCGUGAAUAAAGAUUGCGGCAGUUUUGUGCUUUUCGACAAAGCGGAGGCGAUGAGGUGGUGGUGGUAGUCAGGUAGUGUGACGGGCAGUUGGUCAAGAUCAAGGCCGGUAGAACGUUCGCGAGGUAAGAAUCUCACGAAUGUUCCGACUGCCGUUUCAUCUCUUCUUCCUCAUUGCUAAUUACAUGCAUAAUUACGUGCUUAAUCAUAAUUAGUAAUGACUAAUGAGCCGGUGGUUUGUUUCAUCAGUUAAAAUACAAGCAUACGCAUGCUUUAUGUUUUCUUGUUGCAACGUUUGUUUGGAUUGGACUUUUUUAAAAAAUAUAUAUAUAUCCGGUGAUGAUCAGCAUUUUUCUAUUUCUGUUAAAAUUGAUACACUAAACUUUCUAAUUACAGAGAUAUAAAUUAUAUAUAAAGUUUAUAUACAUUAAUGAGGACAUAACUAGCUCGGAUAUAACUAUAACUACCUUAUAUACUAAUCAACAAAAGUUGCAUAUGUUUUAUAUUAGAUUUACUUAUUAUAUAUUUGAACAAACGUUGUUACACAAUGAGUUUCAUGUGUUUUCGUUUACAGGGGUACUUGCUUGGGUGAAGGAAAAUAGACCGAGCGUAAAGCAUACAUGGAUGAUUGAAGAAGUUGAUUAGGGACCAAACCAAGACAUUCUCCAAGUCUUCUUUCAUCUCACAUUCUCACCACGUCACUUUUGGUCCAUAGAAGACAAGAGAUAAAGUUCUACACGUUUUGGAUUCGGAUUCGGGCACAACUAGCUCGGAUAUAACCAUGACUAUCUAAUAUAGAACAUAUACACCUUUGGUUGAUUAAUAUAUAAGAUAGUCAUGGCUAUAUCCCAGCUAGUUGUGUCCUCAUCAUACAUAAACUCUACAUAUAUAAAGUCUACAUAUAGAAACUUUACAUACAUAAAGUCUACAUAUAGAAACUUUACAUACAUAAAAUCUAUAUGUAUAUGUAGAAAGUUUUCAUGAAAUAAUUCAUAUAAAAAUGUUUUUGUUAAAGAAACAAUGAAAAUAAUUAACAAAAAUAGAAAUCUGAAAAAGAAAAACGGUAGUGAAAAAAAAAAGAAAAAGAAAAAAGACCACUUAAGAAGAGGAUAACUGAAAAUUGGAAAGGAAAGAUCAAUACCGCUCCCCCAGUUCCCCCUUCUCCGUACAUCGUGCGUCUUUCAUCCUCCUCGCUCCGACCAAUUCGUGACAUACAUAGUGGGCGAACGUUCGCCCACUAACCUUCUUGGAGGGGGGUGUCCGGGGAAGGGGCCAGGGGUUGGUUUUUCUGUGUACCUUCUUGGAUCGGUUUGCUUUAAAGACCGUCCAUGUAAUUGGACCGGAGAAAACUGGAUGAACCGGUCGGUUUUUAGGAAAACCGGUGAACCGGAACGGUUUUGGCGAACCGGACGGCUCGUGUCAGAAGGGAAAUACAUCCCGCAGAACAGCCACUUGGGCCAUUUCAGCCCAACUAGCCCAAUACUGUAAGGUAUCCUAGGGCUAGCUUUCCUUCUACCUCCCUUCUUUGCCGUUCCCUUGCGCCGCCAUGGCGCAGCACUGCAGCAACCAGCUGCCAUAACUCACAGCUUGCUCUGUCUGGAUUAGACGGUGACUGCGGCAGCUUGAUGAAUGCUUUGCGAUGAUGACCACGGCAUUGGAAACGGCGAGCAUUUGUGCUGCGCCGGCGGAGCAGUGGACGUCACUACUAGAAACAAGAUUUUUCCAAGCGGCCCAAAUCAAUUUUCGCAGGCGGGGGAAGGACCGCCGCUACCAUCUCACUUGCGAAAAUAGACCAUUUUCGCAGUCGGGCCCGUGGCCCGCUUGCGGAAAUCAUCUAAAAAAAUAAAAGAAAAACACGGCUCCCGCCGCCGGCCACAGUCCGGCCACGGCUCUCCUCCGUCCACUGCCCCCACGUUGACCCGAGCCACCGCGUCGGCGCCGUCGUCGCUCGUCGUGGCUCAUCGUGGCCGGUGGCGGAGGGGGCGACGAGGAGAAGCCGGCGGCGCGCGGAGGAGAUCCGUUGUCGUCGCAGCUGGUGGAGGCGGCGAGGAGGGAAGCCGGUGGCGCGCGGAGGAGAGCCGUCGUCACUCGUCGUGGCUCGUCGUGGCCGACGGCGGAGGAGGCGAGGAGGGGAAGCCGGCGGCGCGCGGUGGAGAUCCGUCGUCGUCGCGGCCGACGGAUGGGGCAAGGAGGGAGCCGGCGGAGGCGCUGAGGGAGGAUUUUUCUAAGUGUCUGUGAGAGAGAGAGAGGAGGGGGGAGGGAAUGAGUGGUGGAGGAGAGGAUAAGGAUGGUUGAGGAUAGGAUAAGGAUGAAUUUUUUUUGGUAGGUACGAUUUUUGCAGGCGGGCCACAUAAGGUGCACCUGUGAAAAUCGCUUAAGUGGUCUGCCUGCAAAAAUCUAUUUUCGCAGGCGGACAACGAACUUCACCCCGAUUUAUAUUUUUGUAGGCGGUCAUUUGGCUUCAAGGAUCAUGUCUGACUGUGAAAAAAGGAUCCCACGUCGGAAAAAUGAUUUUUCUAGUAGUGCGUGAGCCGCUCUUCGAGCAACACAAGUCAACAAAGCUCAUUAGCUUAGAACGAUCUGGUAUGCUUCUAGCACUAGUUCAUCAAGAUUUCCUACUGUCUCUACCUUGGACUAUACGAGAUCUAUUUGCUUCUCUCUUUUCUCCCUGGUUGGAAAUCACCUUUGAUCUAUUCGUUGACAAU
rnacentral:lncRNA from 1 species